GAUGAACGCUAGCGGGAGGCCUAACACAUGCAAGCCGAGCGGUAGAAAGUAGCUUGCUACUUUUGAGAGCGGCGUACGGGUGCGGAACACGUGUGCAACCUGCCUUUAUCUGGGGAAUAGCCUUUCGAAAGGAAGAUUAAUGCCCCAUAACAUAUUGAUUGGCAUCAAUUAAUAUUGAAAGCUCCGGCGGAUAGAGAUGGGCACGCGCAAGAUUAGCUAGUUGGUGAGGUAACGGCUCACCAAGGCGAUGAUCUUUAGGGGGCCUGAGAGGGUGAUCCCCCACACUGGUACUGAGACACGGACCAGACUCCUACGGGAGGCAGCAGUGAGGAAUAUUGGACAAUGGGUGCAAGCCUGAUCCAGCCAUCCCGCGUGAAGGAUGACGGCCCUAUGGGUUGUAAACUUCUUUUAGACAGGGAUAAACCUACUUACGUGUAAGUAGCUGAAGGUACUGUAUGAAUAAGCACCGGCUAACUCCGUG
rnacentral:rRNA from 1 species